rnacentral:rRNA from 1 species
AAGGCUGUCCCUAGUACGAGAGGACCGGGACGGACGCAGCUCUCGUGUGCCAGUUGUCCUGCCAAGGGCAUGGCUGGUUUGCGACCUGCGGAAGGGAUAAGCGCUGAAAGCAUCUAAGCGCGAAGCUCGUUCCAAGAUGAAAUCUCCCACAGGGUUAACCUGGUAAGGCCCGUGGUCAGACCACCACGUUGAUAGGCCGGAGGUGUAAGCACGGCAACGUGUUCAGCCGACCGGUACUAAUCGGCCGAGGGCUUGGGGCUC